rnacentral:rRNA from 1 species
CCUUARUACGGUGAAGCCGCGAAUAKCUCAUUACAACAGCCGUAGUUUAUUGGAUCUAAACUUUACUUGGAUACCUGUGGUAAUUCUAGAGCUAAUACAUGCCCCAAACCCUGACCUUACGGAAGGGGUGCAUUUAUUAGAUCAAAACCAAUCGGCGUCAGCCGUCCCUUGGUGAAUCUGAAUAACUCAGCAGACCGCACGAGCUUGACUCGGCGGCGUGUCUUUCAAGUGUCUGCCUUAUCAACUUUCGAUGGUAGUUUAUGUGCCUACCAUGGUUGUAACGGGUAACGGAGAAUAAGGGUUCGACUCCGGAGAGGCCGCCUUAGAAACAGCGACCACAUCUAAGGAAGGCAGCAGGCGCGCAAAUUACCCACUCUCAGUUCGAGGAGGUAGUGACGAAAAAUAACGAGGCGGGUCUCUUCGAGGCUCGCCAUCGGAAUGGGUACAAUCUAAACCCUUUAACGAGGAUCUAUUGGAGGGCAAGUCUGGU